rnacentral:rRNA from 1 species
GAAAGGACGGGUAAUACCGGAUACCCCGGGGUGCCGCAUGGCACCCCGGCUAAAGCCCCGACGGGAGGGGAUGGCUCCGCGGCCCAUCAGGUAGACGGCGGGGUGACGGCCCACCGUGCCGACAACGGGUAGCCGGGUUGAGAGACCGACCGGCCAGAUUGGGACUGAGACACGGCCCAGACUCCUACGGGAGGCAGCAGUGGGGAAUCUUGCGCAAUGGGGGGAACCCUGACGCAGCGACGCCGCGUGCGGGACGGAGGCCUUCGGGUCGUAAACCGCUUUCAGCAGGGAAGAGUCAAGACUGUACCUGCAGAAGAAGCCCCGGCUAACUACGUGCCAGCAGCCGCGGUAAUACGUAGGGGGCGAGCGUUAUCCGGAUUCAUUGGGCGUAAAGCGCGCGUAGGCGGCCCGGCAGGCCGGGGGUCGAAGCGGGGGGCUCAACCCCCCGAAGCCCCCGGAACCUCCGCGGCUUGGGUCCGGUAGGGGAGGGUGGAACACCCGGUGUAGCGGUGGAAUGCGCAGAUAUCGGGUGGAACACCGGUGGCGAAGGCGGCCCUCUGGGCCGAGACCGACGCUGAGGCGCGAAAGCUGGGGGAGCGAACAGGAUUAGAUACCCUGGUAGUCCCAGCCGUAAACGAUAACGCUAGGUGUGGGGGGACGAUCCCCCCGUGCC